UAGCGGUGAAAUGCUUAGAUAUCACGAAGAACUCCGAUUGCGAAGGCAGCUCACUGGACUGCAACUGACACUGAUGCUCGAAAGUGUGGGUAUCAAACAGGAUUAGAUACCCUGGUAGUCCACACAGUAAACGAUGAAUACUCGCUGUUUGCGAUAUACAGUAAGCGGCCAAGCGAAAGCAUUAAGUAUUCCACCUGGGGAGUACGCCGGCAACGGUGAAACUCAAAGGAAUUGACGGGGGCCCGCACAAGCGGAGGAACAUGUGGUUUAAUUCGAUGAUACGCGAGGAACCUUACCCGGGCUUAAAUUGCAGUGGAAUGAUGUGGAAACAUGUCAGUGAGCAAUCACCGCUGUGAAGGUGCUGCAUGGUUGUCGUCAGCUCGUGCCGUGAGGUGUCGGCUUAAGUGCCAUAACGAGCGCAACCCUUAUCUUCAGUUACUAACAGGUCAUGCUGAGGACUCUGGAGAGACUGCCGUCGUAAGAUGUGAGGAAGGUGGGGAUGACGUCAAAUCAGCACGGCCCUUACGUCCGGGGCUACACACGUGUUACAAUGGGGGGUACAGAAGGCAGCUAGCGGGUGACCGUAUGCUAAUCCCAAAAUCCUCUCUCAGUUCGGAUCGAAGUCUGCAACCCGACUUCGUGAAGCUGGAUUCGCUAGUAAUCGCGCAUCAGCCACGGCGCGGUGAAUACGUUCCCGGGCCUUGUACACACCGCCCGUCAAGCCAUGGGAGCCGGGGGUACCUGAAGUACGUAACCGCAAGGAUCGUCCUAGGGUAAAACUGGUGACUGGGGCUAAGUCGUAACAAGGUAACCA
rnacentral:rRNA from 1 species